UUACAGAAGUAGCCACAAUUAAGGAAAUGACCAAUUAUUAGGCUCAGAAUAGUGUAUCAUCACCUUCGCGGGGCAAACUUGAGGGAAUCGACUCCAUUGAAAUCUUCAGUCUUUCUCUCUUUAUCAUCUUCUUGAUGCUGAAUUUGGUUAUAUCACUGUUUUUAUUUUGUUAUUUUUUGUGUAAAUUUCUCCUUAAAUAGUUUUCUAGUCGAUUCAAGCAAUUGGUUCUUGUUUUUGUAUUUAUGUUGGAAGUAAGGUGUUAUCGCCAGUGGUUGAAGGGGUUGUUGGUAUGUAUUUGGUGGAGAUAAGGAUGAUGGGGUGAUGGGGAUGACGGUGAUAGGACUAUUGGUGUUUAUGUGGUGGCAACUUAUCUGUGAGAAGAAUUAUAGGAAAGGGGUGAUUUAGAUAAAGCUGUAGUAGUAUAGUGUUUUAGGUAUUUGAUUAAGGCUGCCGUUGAUGUUGGUCAAUAAUGGAGGUGAAGAGACCAAGAUGUCGGCUAUGAAGUAGGAAAGAGACUAAGAGAAACAUAUGUCUU
rnacentral:lncRNA from 1 species